UACGUCACUGUUGUCACUCGAAAUCGUUCCUUUUUUAUCGACGGCGCGAGAAACGCUCGAUCCAAUCUUGUCUUUUUUUCGCUCAGGUCGAUUAAUCAAGCGAGCAAAUUUAUCCGUCUCUGAUAAAAAGAAAACUCGUCGAUAGACAGCGGGUACGGAUAUUGAUCAAGAACAAGGUACAACAAGCUUUAGAGCAAAUACGGCUAUGUGGCUAAGUAUUCGUAUUUUCUUGUUGGCGUUAGUUUUGGGAAUUACUUACUCUGAAGAAUGGUCUCCUUAUUCGUUAUACUGUAAACCUUUAAAGUCAAUGGAAGAGAAUGAACCGCUCUGUCCUCCCGAUGUACCCGUGCCUAUGUGUACUAAUCCAGACGCCUGUAAAGUUUUGGAAGAGGAGGGCAAGCUUACGGACGAAGUUGAUUGCGUCCUAAAAUAUUGCGGCGGAUGCUUAGUUUGCCUUUAUGACAAAAUAGAUGGAAAACUCAUCAAUGGAAAAUAGCAAGAACAGUAGUAUUCGAUUUUCUCCAUUUCUGGUCACUGUGUAAUUUGUAUAUAAUGGACUGUCUCUAUGUUGGAUGUACAGCGACUCGUGUUGAUAUUUGAAUAUAGAUGUGCUAAAACGUUCAGUGUCAAGUGACGUAGGUUUAUGUGAUAUAUAUUAUUUUUGCUUUUUUUUUGAAAAUGCUAACAUCUUCGUAUAUUCUACUGAACAUUCACUCUCGAUAUAGAUCCAAAUAAGUAAUGGAUAAUAAGUCGCUAAAAUAAAAAUUCAAAGAACUGUUUUAAAUAUCAACCACGCAAGGAAACUUGUUUUUGAUUUGUCUCUCAUAGAAUAAAAUGGCUAUCCUAUGUGUGUCAUUGUUUUUAGUCACCGACAGGCCGUUGUCGGUUAAAAUUUGGAUCUCGUUGUUUUGAUAAAAGUGAAAAAGGAUAUCAACUCCAAGUUAAUUGGUAUUUAUUUUAAAUUGAAAAAACAACAACAACAAAAAUACCAACAGCUUUGUCCUAAUAAACCUGUGGUCUGGUUGACAUCGCAGUAAUAAAACAAGUGUGCUCCCAUCAUGCUGUUGAAAUGUUUAUGCAUUAUCCAAUCUUUACUAUAUCUAUGUUUUAACCCCAUUCACCUGUAAUUCACGUUCAUUGCACGAUGCAAUCUGGAAAAUUAGAUUUUGGAAUGAUAAGGCAUCGAUCGAAGCACAUAAAUCAAUUUACAUGAAUAAUAGAUGAGCCCGCGGGUGGAUUUCGAUCUUGAAACUGGUUGCAGGAAACGUUUUAAAUAAAUUCGUAAUUUUUUUAACGUGA